UGAAUGAAUGGCCUGGGCAUGUGCUCUGGGCACACUGCGGGCAGAGAGGAAAAAGAAAGGGGAGCAUUCUCACAGGGAGAGAGGAGGUCUCCCUCCCAGGGACAGACCAGGUCGAGGGGGAGCUGCAGGCCCUGACAGGGUCUCUGGGAAGGGCAGGCCAGAGGGAGACAGGUUUAGGAAGAAUGCACUUCCUUGCUUCCCGAGUCUCGAACCCACUUCGGCCAUGCAACAGGGCCAGCCCGGCUCCCACCAACCAUCCCAGCUGCUUCCAGAGGCUUCAGACUAGAGGCCUGAAAAGCUCUAGGGCAAAACCCUCACCCUCCCAUCAUGGCCAGGGUGGGGCACCAGGCAAACAUCACUCUCCUAGCGGGUGCACCUGCUUCUUUAUCACUCCUAGAAUGGAUUUUUCCAAGUACGAAAGCUCCCUAAUUUGCCCAGCCCCUGGGCUCGCUGGCUUUCAGGAAAACAGAUAAUUAACCCUAAUUCACUGACUUGCUGGGCCGGAACGGCAGCCAGGGAGGGCCCUGAUGGGAAAUACGGGCCCCUGCCGGGGCAGCCAGCCUCAGAUAAGGAGAGAUGGGUAUCAGGACUGGAGCUGGGCAAGAGGCUUUUUUUUUUUUUUUUCCUGGGAAGAUACGGGUAAGAGCUACUUCGUGAUUGACACUUCAGAUGGCAUCGAAAUGGCCUUUUGCUUGCAUUUGGGUUUUUUCCCUCAAAGUACCAGGUCAUGGCCAUGCCCCCUGGCCUUGCAUCAUCCCCAUGCUGUCCUGCCCAGAACAUUCUUUCCUCUCUGCUCUACACAAGGAAGCCCUGCUGUAAAACCCAGGAAGCCUGCCCUAAUGGGACUCCCACCCAGGGUCCUGCUCGGACCCGAUCAACCUCCCCGUGCUGCUUCUGAAACUUUCGGGGGGGUGGUCAUAUCCGCUGCAGGCACGUGCAGAGGGAGCAUGCUGAGCGAGGACUCUGGAGAAAACUGACCACAUUAGAAUCCCAGCUCCACAUCGAGCUACGGACAAGAACAUACUUCUCACUGAGCCUCAGUUUUCCCAUCUGUGUAAUGGGGGUGACACAGCACCUCCCUCAAGGUAAGGAUCAGAAGCACAUGCGUGCCCCAGCUCAAACGAACGUUCGCUGCAGUAUCGUGUCAGCCCAGGCAAGCCUGCCCGCCUGCGGCAGGAAGACCCGUCCUGGGCCGCGCUGGGGGGCCAACCCACCCACAGGAGGGGCUGUCAGGGACUGGACGAGGCGGCCCCGUCACAGCCCCUUCCUCUC